GACGAACGCUGGCGGCGUGCUUAACACAUGCAAGUCGAACGGAAAGGCCCUGCGUUUGCUGGGUGCACGAUUGGCGAACGGGUGAGUAACACGUGUGUAACCUGCCCUUGUCUUUGGGAUAAAUUUUGGAAACUGGGGCUAAUAUCGCGUAGGAGCUCCUGCUGCACGGGGGUGGUUGGAAAGAUUCGGCGGUGGUGGCUCGUCUGGCGGCUUAUGAGCUUGUUUGUGUAGUAGGUGCUUACCAAGGCUUUGACGGGUAGGCUGCCUGAGAGGGUUAACGGCCACCUUGCGACUGAGAUACGGCGCAGACGGCUGCGGGAGGCAGCAGUGGAGAAUAUUGCGCAAUGGGCGGAAGCCUGAUACAGCAACGCCGCGUGCGGGAUGACGGCCUACGGGUUGUAAACCGAUUUCGCCUGUGACGAAGCGUGAGUGACGGUAAUGGGUAAAGAAGCACCGGCUAACUACGUG
rnacentral:rRNA from 1 species